rnacentral:lncRNA from 1 species
AAAAAAAUAAAAAUUAGAAAUGAUUCCUCCAAAAAAUAAAAUAGAAAUAAAAAAAAUAGAAAUGGUUAAAAAAGAUUGUACAUGAAUUAAAUUAAAAUAUAUACUAUCUUAUACCAAAUAUAUAUAUACUAUCUAAUUUUCAUAAUAAAAUUGGAAUUGAGAUAGAAAUUUUGGGGGAAAAAUGACAUCUUGAAAAUUGAAAGCGUUUUCUCUCUCGACUCUCACUUCUUCCAAGCCGCCGUCGCCGUAAUCUCGCCACCGCCGCUCAACCCGGCCAUCCGCAGCCUUUUAACUGUAGCUGCUUAAAGCACUUCCCGGCAGUGACGCACACAACCGCCGAUCCGGUAAGCUUGUUAAUCUUCUCUAAUUUUGUUUAACAUGAAGAUUUAACUUCGAUAUUCAUAAUCUCUAGUCGAGUU